AGGGGUGUGGCUCAAUGGUAGAGUAGCGGUCUCCAAAACCGUCGGUUGUGGGUUCGAGUCCUACCACCCCUGCCA
rnacentral:tRNA from 1 species